rnacentral:rRNA from 1 species
AAAAACCUACCUAAUGGAGAAGUCGUUAGCAAAGUCACAAGGCCCUCUACUUUUCAUUAUAAAACCGAUAAAUCAGAAAAAGAUGGAUUGUUUUGCGAAAGAAUCUUUGGACCCAUAAAAAGCGGGAUUUGCGCUUGUGCCAAUUCUUGAGCGAGCGGAGCUGAAAACGAAGACGAAAGAUUUUGCCAAAAAUGCGGGGUCGAAUUUGUGGAUUCUCGGAUACGAAGAUAUCAAAUGGGAUGCAUCAAACUCGCGACUCCUGCCGCCAAAGCUUAG